GUGACUUGCGGAAUCAAACUCUAUAAUCCAGAGAUGGGUUAUAAAGCAGGGUUCCUCCUGGUUCCCCAGCGAUAUCUCGCCAAUGUGCCAGUAUACACCCCAGGGGUGAGCGCGCAGGGACCUCUUUGCUCUGUGAUUUUCCCAUCGUAACUUAAUAUAAACCACCGUAUUCUUUUAUAAGUAAAACCACUUCUGACACAACAGCAUUGUUAUGACUUAUGACCACAUACUUUACAACAACCAGUAAUUAAUAAUACAAAAUAAACACGUAUUAAAACA